GUGACCUAGUUCAACGGCCGCGGUAUCCUAACCGUGCGAAGGUAGCGUAAUCACUUGUUCUUUAAAUAAGGACUAGUAUGAAUGGCACCACGAGGGUUUAACUGUCUCCUUUUUCUAAUCAGUGAAACUAAUCUCCCCGUGAAGAAGCUGGGAUUUUUUUAUAAGACGAGAAGACCCUAUGGAGCUUUAAACUAUUUUACACCUGCUGCCCACAAACCAACUUCCAGAAAUUAACCCUAAAGCAUAGCACUUUGAUUAAUAGUUUUUGAUUGGGGUGAUCGCGGAGUAAAAAAUAACCUCCACGACGAAAGGAUUUUUCCUGAGCCAUAAGCCACAGCUUUAAGCACUAAUAUUAUUAACGGCUAUUGACCCA
rnacentral:rRNA from 1 species